UAAGUUGUAUCUACAACCAAAUAGUUGAUUAUAUUAAAUAAAUAUAUAUUAUUCUAUAAUUGAUAGUUAUUAAGUUAAAAAAAUUUAGGGCAUAUUUGAUUUGUGAUCAAAACCAAAAUUAGAAUGGACAAGAAUGAGCAUCGGAACGACUAUAUCCUUCAAUGUAUUUGAUUUGUUAUGAAAACCGUAGUUGGAAUUAGAAUAAAAUUUGAAUCUCAGGAAAGAAUAGAGAUUGGAGUAUUUCUAUCUCCCUAUUUAUUAAAAAUUCGAAAUACAAAUAGAACUCCUUCCAAC
rnacentral:lncRNA from 1 species